CUAGAGCUAGGGCUACUUGAUACGCGUACCAACGUACCAAGUGCUCGGUGUAAACUAGCCAUAUGAUGUCGAAGAAAGAUAGAGCACGCUCACAGCACCAAAAAGCGUGCUCUCCGAACCCAACCUAUAUGUGCUUAUGCAAGUUGUGUGGAUAUACCAUAAAUGGUGAUUCGCGUAAGGAGGUUAAGUGACUUAAAGCGUGGUACUUUAUCCCUGGAGGGACGGUAAUCCAAAGGGCAGAGACAAAGAAGGUGUAUCUGCGUGUAUAAAAACAAAUUCUUGUCGCCUCAACAACCACUUACAGAUAUGGAUGACAAACUUCGCCAAAUGGAAGAUGAAAUGAAUAGGUGUAAUUAAAUUUACAAAAUUUCUUGGAGUUAAAUGUCACUCCAAAAAAAUGAAAAUACUACCAGUCCACAGGCACAGCAAAGGAAGGUAAUUCUUGCUUAUCUUAGUCGCAUUGCGAGUGGUCUUUAUGUAGCGAGUUGCAUUUUACUCCCGAGACAGUAGGUCGCCUAUCGACGGUGCCACGCCAAUUUGACAUUUCGACAGAUCUGCUGCGUUUCUGGUAUCAAUCUGUCGCGUACUUUGACGCACAAAUGUUGUUGCAUUUCUACAGGCAAUUUGCUGACAUUGUUUGCACUUUGAUGUUUGUCGUCAAUCUGUCAUCAAUACUUCCAAUAAUUCUGCUUGCAGUUUACUAUUAUUUUGUCAUGUAUUCUGAUGACAAAUGUUGCUAAAUAUAUGCUAACAGUGUUUGCAAUGACAAGAUAUGUUUUUCAUUUGCUGCCUUUUUGGCAACAGAAUCUGUUUUUGUCACAGCAGAAAUGGUUAUCGGGGAAGGAAAUGGGCCUCACUGAAUUACUUAAAACUUUACAAUAUCGUGUAUUUUUGUGCAUAGAAUAUGAAUCUGUAAGUAAAAAUCGUUGCUUUGCUUCGAGUAAAGCGAAAUAUUAAUUGUUAAAGUUAAUCACUUCAAGAUUAAGAAAAAAUCAUAUCGACAAAUACCAGCGCAGCACAUCAGCACAUAAGCAUGCGGUUACGUCUGCAUGUUUCUUAUUAACAUAGAGCUUGUAUUAAUGGAGGGGCCUUGGUGCAUCGCGACGCGCGCGGGGAGAAUCGACAGAGAGGUGGAUGUAUUCUGUCUUUUUUCGUGUGGGAACAGGUUCGUAACUAUACAAUCUGAGGCCCGAUUCUCGAACUCGUAAGAAAAAAAAUUGCUUACAAAGAUAACACUGUGUAUUCAUUAAGCGGGUACAUAAUUUAGAAUCUAAAAGAUGCAUGCCAAUCAAUGAAUACAUAGUAUUACUUUCGUAUAUAAAAAUUUUUUGUACUAAUUGUAACAGCCCGAGACCCGAGUAGGCACCAAGUAGGUAGGCUCGUACCUGUCGUAUGUGCGCUUCUUUCCUUCUAGAAAACGGAGUGGUGGGGAUGUCCAACACGAAAAGAGACAGAAUAUAUGAGAACAUAUUCAUGUCUCUGUCGAUUCUCCCCGCGCGGACUCCGGCAUAUAACAAUGGCCCCUCCAUUAAUACAAGCUCUAUGCUUAUUAAUAAUAGGCGCAUAAUAGGCGCAUGCAAAAAGUGCGCGAAAUUCUAAUGUGUAUGUACGUAUUUAAUCUCAUUUUGCGUAGAAAUUUGCGAAGGGUUGUGCAGAGAACGUAUGGGCGGGGGAGGAAAGAAGCUCUGUAUAGGAUAUAUAACAAUUUCAAAUCUGACAUCGCAACGUGGUUAAUUGAAUAUCCAUGGCCAAAUAGCGACUUAAAAUUGCUUGGGUUAGAGUUAGGAAAAAAUAUUGGGAGAGAAUGCAGGGGGAGGGGCGAAGUCUCUCCCCCGCCUACGCGUUUUUUGAGAAUAUAUUCUCUUUCAAUCAAAAGCACAAGUAGUUCAAAGCAAAGUAUUUCCUGCUUUAACCAAAAGUACACUGUACUUCUUAUUUAUAUUUGAUUAAAGCAGAAAAUAUUUUCGCGCAUUUUUACGUCAAUGCACCUGGUCAAUGCGUCUACAUUGUGUCGAUAUGACAGAAAUCCUAACUUUACAAUUGUCAACUUUAGUACUUAAUAACUUUUAUAUUAUUUGACAGCGAUACUUUUAACUUACUGAUUCUUGUUCUACGCACAAAAAUAUACGAUAUUGUAAAGUUUCAAGCAAAUCGAUGAGGUAGCUUAGAGUCCCUAUAAUAAGAGUCCAGACAACAUUUUUAGUUCGACAAAACAUGGCGUCAUAAAUAUAAAUAGUGGCACAGAUUAAUAAAGACUGAUAGUGGUAUAUUACUGUGUAAGAUAUUGUGAUUUAUAAAGGCAUAAACAACUAAAACAAUAUUAUAAAAAAUAAAGUAAAGUAUAUAAAAAAAAAA